AGUGAACGCUGGCGGUAGGCCUAACACAUGCGAGUCGAACGGCAGCACAGUAAGAGCUUGCUCUUACGGGUGGCGAGUGGCGGACGGGUGAGGAAUACAUCGGAAUCUACUUUUUCGUGGGGGAUAACGUAGGGAAACUUACGCUAAUACCGCAUACGACCUACGGGUGAAAGCAGGGGAUCUUCGGACCUUGCGCGAUUGAAUGAGCCGAUGUCGGAUUAGCUAGUUGGCGGGGUAAAGGCCCACCAAGGCGACGAUCCGUAGCUGGUCUGAGAGGAUGAUCAGCCACACUGGAACUGAGACACGGUCCAGACUCCUACGGGAGGCAGCAGUGGGGAAUAUUGGACAAUGGGCGCAAGCCUGGUCCAGCCAUACCGCGUGGGUGAAGAAGGCCUUCGGGUUGUAAAGCCCUUUUGUUGGGAAAGAAAAGCAGCAGGUUAAUACCCCGCUGUUCUGACGGUACCCAAAGAAUAAGCACCGGCUAACUUCGUG
rnacentral:rRNA from 1 species